AGGUUGUGAUGCAGACACUUACAUAAUAAGUCCAUGUAUCUCUCCCUUGCCUCAUAUAAUGAUUCACCCACAAAUUGGGUGAAGGCAGUAAUAUCAUUCCUUAAUUU